rnacentral:rRNA from 1 species
GAUGAACGCUGGCGGCGUGCUUAACACAUGCAAGUCGAACGGAAAGGCUCCUGCUUGCAGGGGUACUCGAGUGGCGAACGGGUGAGUAACACGUGGGUGAUCUGCCCUGCACUUCGGGAUAAGCCUGGGAAACUGGGUCUAAUACCGGAUAGGACGAUGGUUUGGAUGCCAUUGUGGAAAGUUUUUCGGUGUGGGAUGAGCUCGCGGCCUAUCAGCUUGUUGGUGGGGUAAUGGCCUACCAAGGCGUCGACGGGUAGCCGGCCUGAGAGGGUGUACGGCCACAUUGGGACUGAGAUACGGCCCAGACUCCUACGGGAGGCAGCAGUGGGGAAUAUUGCACAAUGGGCGGAAGCCUGAUGCAGCGACGCGGCGUGGGGGAUGACGGCCUUCGGGUUGUAAACUCCUUUCGCUAGAGACGAAGCGCAAGUGACGGUACCUGGAGAAGAAGCACCGGCUAACUACGUG